GGCCCAAACCACCUCUGGCCUGAUACCUUUUCGCGUGGAGACGCUCUGCUGUCGUCUUCUCCCCCUCACGUUGGCAGCGUGAGCUCUUUUCCCUCUGCCAUGGACCACCGCACAUGGUCCUCCUCUCCCAACCACCGCGGCCACCUCGCCUCACCUGCCCCCCUUCUUAUCCCCUCGCAUCUGCAAACCCUAGCAUCCUCCCUCUACCCGCCGCCACUACCUCCUCUUCUCCCCAUCGUUUUCCUCACCUCUCUGUAAGCAAACGAAGGAGGAAACGAACCCACAGCACCUCCUCCACCUCGCCAUGGCGCCGCCUCUAUAGACCAUCCCCCGCCGUUCCGAGGGCACCGGCAGAUGCGCCUCGUCGUCCUCUCCAUCCUUCCCAAAGGAAUCGAUCUGGGAGGCUUUCAAUGGUUCCCAAAUUCGCCGUUCCCCACUCCUACCGGCCGAACUCCGGCGUCAAUUCCGGCCACCCUCGUCCUCCUCCGACCAAACCGAGCCCACCUUCAUCUUGCUGGUUCCCGUCGCCGGCGAGCUGUCGGUGAUGCUUCGGCUCCACAAGCACCACGUUCUGGUUCACCAAGUUCCCCCGCAUCUAGUGCACCAUCUCGUGCGUCCUGGCUCGCCCUAAGUCGCCAGAUUCGUCCUCGGCCAGAUCUCCGUCCGCCAUGGCUUCUCCGUCCCGAGCUCCGCUCCUGUAUGGUUCAAGUUGUCCCGCGCCCUAUUCUUGACACGAUCCGAAACAGUGGCACAGUGAUCCGGCGUCUACUGGGCCUUGGCCCAUUUCUCUCCCGGUGUAGCCAUCGCCCACGCGCAGCAGCCCGCUAACCAUCGCCUCUCGCGGGCCAGAGCUGCAUUUGCUUCUUCACGGUUAGGAUCACGAAGUGAUGUUGUGAGAUACGACAAGUUCUUCUGCAGCUUUUCACAGGCGAGCCCACCCCUUCACCUAUUUUACUUUUACAUGCUCUUUUGAUCUAUUGCUAUCCUUAUGUUGUGAUUCUGUUGUGUCAUGUGUCCUAUCCACCUGUUACCUAUAUGUCUGAGAUACACCUCCUCGCCCUACCUAUUGUUUGUUGUUUGCCAGCUUUGCGAGUCGUAGGCGAGUUUAGGGUCUUGUUGAUAUCUCGAGAUGUUCGGGAUAUCUUGUUGGGAAGUUGACACAUGUACCACCUUUUGAAAAUGAUGCGACAACUAAAAUUGCUAAGGGAUAAUAACAUUGCAGAGGCAUCUGUGAGCCCCUUUGCGAAAGCAUCGGAACUUUGACUCGCUAAUGUCCCCUAGGACCCGAGUUCUUGUUAUCUGUUCCGAGAUUGAGCGCUCUACACGUACGUGGGGGAGUGGGACCCCCAUCACCCACUACCUUUCCUCGAGUCUGUUUAUUGGGAGCCACAACCUUGGUUUUUUUUUGCUCAUAUGCACGAUGCACGAUUUACUUCUGUUGCCUUCGGGUGUUUAUAUUCUGUUAUGUACUCAUAUCGUGGAACGAUUAGCGACAGCAGGUUGUUCACACUUAGCUUAGCCGUUGUCACAAACCUCUGGGUCCGUAUCGGAGUACGGCCGAACUUCAUCACGGGUAGCUUAGUUGGGUGGCUCCCAUUAAACUUUCUCUUGCAUUGGGAACGGUCUUGAUGUGAGACUCCACCUGUAGUAAGCGGGUUCGAGCAUGCGUAUGGUUACAUUUGGGCAACCCCUGCAGGGUGUACAUCUUAUCGAUAAGCCGUGUCCGCGGUUAUGGACGACUUGGAAUUGUAUAGCUUGAUCAUAGAACAACUUGCACUGUUAUCUUGUUGCUAAUAAUUUGAUAAUAACUUGCGUAGCAAUAUUGCAUUAUUACAACCAACAUAUAAUAAAAUUGUCAACAGUGGAGUGCCUUUUACAUUGCCUCUUCGCCUUGUUGAAGGGGAUAUGUGUAUUUGGCUGGGUUAUGUUUGUGUAGUAUUUAUCUGUUACCUUGUGCGCUCUCUUAUCUUCUCUGAGUAGACGGAUGUUGUAGCGUGUCUCUAUUGGAUAGUAGCUUUGCUGCCGCUAAACUCCACAUAUAGCCGGGUGAAGUUUAUACCGCCCACCAGCGAGCAUAGCUGGUCUUGUCUCGCAAGUACGUGCCAAUGGUACUUACCCUCGCCUUCCUUUCUUUUUGUCUCCUCCCCCUUUUGUCGGCAACCGAUGGCCCGACUUUGACAGUACGAGAUGACGACGUUAGCAAGGUUACCCUUCCGGCUUGGCCUGGGCAGGGUUAUGGACGCUACUGGUUAUCUUCAGGACUCUUAGUCCGAUUUGUAUCUUGUCCGUACUCGGACGUAUUUGAUCUUCUGUAUGAUUUGGAUCUUUGUAUUGUGUAUUUGUAUCUUGACUCGUUGGAGUCGUUGUUGUAAUAUAUGUUUCUUGUGGGCUCUAUUGUAAUCC